UGGGGAACCUGCCCCAUAGUCUGGGAUACCACUUGGAAACAGGUGCUAAUACCGGAUAAGAAAGCGGAUCGCAUGAUCAGCUUUUAGAAGGCGGCGUAAGCUGUCGCUAUGGGAUGGCCCCGCGGUGCAUUAGCUAGUUGGUAAGGUAAAGGCUUACCAAGGCGAUGAUGCAUAGCCGAGUUGAGAGACUGAUCGGCCACAUUGGGACUGAGACACGGCCCAAACUCCUACGGGAGGCAGCAGUA
rnacentral:rRNA from 1 species